AGCGAUCGCUGGCUGCAGGCUUAACACAUUCAAGUCGAGCGCGCAUAACAAUAUUUCAACUACAGACGUGUGCGUAACGCGUGGGAACGUACCUUUUUGUUCGUAACAACACAGGGAAACUUUUUCUAAUACCUGGUAAUGCCUUACGUGGAAAGAUUUAUCGCCGAAAGAUCGUCCCGCGUCGGAUUAGCUAGUUGGUGAGGUAUUGGCUCACCACACCGACGAUCAGUAGCUUGUCUGAGAGGAUGAUCAGCCACAUUGGGACUAAGACACGGCCCAAACUCCUACGGGAGGCAGCAGUGGGGAACAUUGGACACCGGGCGCAAGCCUGAUCCAGCCAUGCCGCGUGAGUGAUGAAGGCACUAGGGUUGUAAAGCUCUUUUGUGCGGGAAGAUAAUGACGGUACCGCAAGAAUAAGCCCCGGCUAACUUCGUG
rnacentral:rRNA from 1 species